GAGUUUGAUCAUGGUUCAGGACGAACGCUGGCGGCGUGCCUAACACAUGCAAGUCGAGCGGAGAUUCAAGGAGCAGCUUGCUGCACUUUGAAUCUUAGCGGCGGACGGGUGAGUAACGCGUGGGUAAUCUGCCUCAAACAGGGGGAUAACACAGGGAAACUUGUGCUAAUACCGCAUAAGACCCCAUCAUGGCAUCAUGGAGAGGUCAAAGGAAGAAAUUCCGGUUUGAGAUGAGCCCGCGUCUGAUUAGCUAGUUGGUGAGGUAACAGCUCACCAAGGCGUCGAUCAGUAGCCGAACUGAGAGGUUGAUCGGCCACAUUGGGACUGAGACACGGCCCAGACUCCUACGGGAGGCAGCAGUGGGGAAUAUUGCACAAUGGGGGGAACCCUGAUGCAGCGACGCCGCGUGAAGGAAGAAGGCCUUCGGGUUGUAAACUUCUUUGACCAGGGACGAAUAAAUGACGGUACCUGGAGAACAAGCCACGGCUAACUACGUGCCA
rnacentral:rRNA from 1 species